rnacentral:lncRNA from 1 species
GUUGUGGCUCAGGGGCCAGCACCUGCUAGUACCAGGACACUACUGGGAGGCUGGGACCUGACCAAAGCUCAUGGUGUCUGUUGCCUGAGGACAGGGUGUCUUGGGCCAUAAGGCCAGGCCACCAAUGGCCAUUGGGUCAUAGGGGCUCAGCCCCAGUGUUUGCCCUUCCCUGGCUCCUUCUGGUUCGGUCCUAUCAGGGCCCUGGAGCCCAAGACCCAGCAUCCAAGGUCCCCUCCAGGAAUCCUGGCGGCUCAGCUUACUUUGUCAUGUUUCAUCUGAGAGCAAAAAUGUCAGAUCGGCUGCACAGAAAAAUGGCUCAAAGUACUUAAUGACUAGAAGAAAUCUAGGAGCAGCAAGAAGAGCGGGACAAACAGGCCAGGCGGUGUCAGGAGCACAGGUCUCCAGCUGGAGGGAGUGUCAGCCCUGCAGUAGGAGUCCAUCACGCAUCCUAGGCACAUAUGCUAAUGUAGGUAUCACAGGAAUUCAAGUGACUAUAUUGCCACCAUCUUGGAGCUCACUGCCCUCAGUGUAAUGGCACCAGUAGAUCUGCCUGUGCACAGACUUCCUGUACUACCCACUCUUGAGGGGUGAUGCUUCUGCCUCACCAUAUGCUCAGGCCUAUGACCGGAUGCACAACUUUAGACACCAUCAUCCUGGAGCAG